AACCUCGUGGAGGUCCGAACUCACUACAGUUGAAAAUGUAGGGGAUGAGGUGUGGGUCGGAGUGAAAGGCUAAUCAAACCGGGAGAUAGCUGGUUCUCGCCGAAAGAUAUUUAGGUAUCGCCUCGGAAAACUCUGUCGAGGAGGUAGAGCACUGGAUGGGCUAGGGGUCUUACCAGAUUACCAAACCCAACCAAACUCCUAAUGCCUCGACAUUUACUCCGGGAGUCAGGCUGUGGGAGCUAAGUUCCAUGGCCAAAAAGGGGAAAGAGCCCAGACCGCCAGCUAAGGUCCCUAAGUCGUUGCUAAGUGGUAAAGGAUGUGGAAGCACACAGACAACCAGGAGGUUGGCUUAGAAGCAGCCAUCCUUUAAAGAAAGCGUAAUAGCUCACUGGUCAAGUGAGUCCGCGCCGAAAAUUUAACGGGGCUAAAGUAACGCACCGAAGCUGCGGGUUGAUUUUAUCAGCGGUAGGCGAGCAUUGUCACAACUGUGAAGCCAGACGGUAACGACUGGUGGAGUGGUGACAAGAGCGAAUGCAGG
rnacentral:rRNA from 1 species